CCCUUAGAUGUUCUGGGCCGCACGCGCGCUACACUGAUGCAUUCAACGAGCCUAUCCUUGACCGACAGGUCCGGGUAAUCUUUGAAUCUGCAUCGUGACGGGGAUAGAUUAUUGCAAUUAUUAAUCUUCAACGAGGAAUGCCUAGUAGGCGCAAGUCAUCAGCUUGCGUCGAUUACGUCCCUGCCCUUUGUACACACCGCCCGUCGCUCCUACCGAUUGAAUGGUCCGGUGAAGUGUUCGGAUCGCGCCGACGUGGGCGGUUCGCCGCCGGCGACGUCGCGAGAAGUCCACUGAACCUUAUCAUUUAGAGGAAGGAGAAGUCGUAACA
rnacentral:rRNA from 1 species